rnacentral:rRNA from 1 species
UACGUAGGGUGCAAGCGUUAAUCGGAAUUACUGGGCGUAAAGCGCGCGUAGGCGGCUCUUCAAGUCAGACGUGAAAGCCCCGGGCUUAACUCGGGAACUGCGUUUGAUACUGUCGGGCUAGAGUGUGGAAGGGGCGAUUGGAAUUCCGUGUGUAGCGGUGAAAUGCGUAGAUAUACGGAGGAACACCAGUGGCGAAGGCGGCUCACUGGUCCGGUACUGACGCUGAGGUGCGAAAGCGUGGGGAGCAAACAGG